rnacentral:rRNA from 1 species
GAUGAACGCUGGCGGCGUGCCUAAUACAUGCAAGUCGAGCGAACAGACGAGGAGCUUGCUCCUCUGACGUUAGCGGCGGACGGGUGAGUAACACGUGGAUAACCUACCUAUAAGACUGGGAUAACUUCGGGAAACCGGAGCUAAUACCGGAUAAUAUAUUGAACCGCAUGGUUCAAUAGUGAAAGACGGUUUUGCCGUCACUUAUAGAUGGAUCCGCGUCGCAUUAGCUAGUUGGUAAGGUAACGGCUUACCAAGGCAACGAUGCGUAGCCGACCUGAGAGGGUGAUCGGCCACACUGGAACUGAGACACGGUCCAGACUCCUACGGGAGGCAGCAGUAGGGAAUCUUCCGCAAUGGGCGAAAGCUUGACGGAGCAACGCCGCGUGAGUGAUGAAGGUCUUCGGAUCGUAAAACUCUGUUAUUAGGGAAGAACAAAUGUGUAAGUAACUAUGCACGUCUUGACGGUACCUAAUCAGAAAGCCACGGCUAACUACGUG